rnacentral:lncRNA from 13 species
AUGUACAACUGCGUGCACACACACAUACAAAAGUGCAACCCAUGUACAACUGCACACAUACAAACACACAGAAAUACAGCCCACGUAUACAACUGCGUGCACACAUACACAUACAAAAGUGAAACCCAUGUACAACUGCACACAUACACAGAAAUACAGCCCACGUACAACUGUGUGCACACACACAUACAAAAGUGCAACCCAUGUACAACUGCACACAUACAAACACACAGAAAUACAGCCCACAUAUACAACUGCGUGCACACAUACACAUACAAAAGUGCAACCCAUGUGCAACUGCACACAUACAAACACACAGAAAUACAGCCCACAUACAACUGCGUGCACACACACAUACAAAAGUGCAACCCCUGUGAAAAUGCACACAAACACACAGAAAUACAGCCCACGUACAACUGCGUGCACACACACACACAAAAGUGCAACCCCUGCGCAACUGCACACAUACAAACACACAGAAAUACAGCCCCCGUACAACUGCGUGCACACAUACACAUACAAAAGUGCAACCCAUGCACAACUGCACACAUACAAACACACAGAAAUACAGCCCCCGUACAACUGCGUGCACACAUACAGACAUGCAGAAGUGCAAUGGAAUGUGUGUUGCAGCAGCAGGGCUGCUCCCUGUGGGCCCACGGAAAGGAUGCUGGGCGGUUCCCCGAUGCGCUUCCAGCGGCCCUUCCAAAGGACUUCAUGUGCUGGGUCGGGACAUUCCAUUGUCAGCCCAUUUCCUCUGUGGAAGCUGGUUUCUUGGCUCAUUCUGACACAAGUGAUACAGGCGGAAAGAGCAGUCCCUUCUCAUGGUCCAGAGAUUGUUGUGAAAAAGGGGUCAGGCUGGAGGGUCCAAGUUUGCAGAACCCAUCCUUAGAUGUGCUCCAGGAGACAGAAACCCCACAAGCCCUGGCUUUAGGCGGAAAAAAAAAAGGAGAGGGAAAUGUAUGGACUGACGACAAAACUGACAAGUCCAGGAAGGAUGGAAAUUCAGGCCUAGCUAGAUUCAGGGGCUCAGAGGAUGUGGUUAGGGAGAGGUUAUUCUUCAUCUGUUGGCUCUGCAUUUCUGGACAGGGGAAGGGCGGUAUUUUCAGGGAGGCUUUGGCCAAGGGGGCCACUGGCCUUCAGGCUUACGUCAGACACAAUUCAGCAAUCCCUGCAGGAAAGCCUCGCUUUGCUAGUGGUUCUAAUAAAAGUCUCAGGAUUGACUCUGUUCAUCCAUCCUUGCACUAA